rnacentral:rRNA from 1 species
CCAUACGGGUUGAAGCAUGACCGUAAGGACAUGUGGACAGUAUGGGAGUGAGAAUGUUGGCAUGAGUAGCGAGAUGUGGGUGAGAAUCCCACAGGCCGUAAACCCAAGGUUUCCAGGGGAAGGUUCGGCCGCCCUGGGUUAGUCGGGACCUAAGCUGAGGCCGAAAGGCGUAGGUGAUGGACAACAGGUUGAUAUUCCUGUACUACCGAUAACCGUUUGAGAGA